AUGAUGGCUGCUACUCAGCUCCUAGGUUUGCUGCUACUCUGUUUUACAGGUGCCAAUUGUGAAAUCCAGAUGAUUCAGUCUCCAGCCUCCCUGUCUGUAUCUCUGGGAAAAAGUGUCACCAUCAAAUGUCUGGCAAGUGAAGACCUUUACGGGAAUUUAGCAUGGUAUCAGCAGAAACUAGAGGAACCUCCUAAGCUCCUGAUCUAUAAUACACAUAGCUUGAAAGAUGGGGUCCCUUCAAGAUUCAGUGGCAGUGGAUCUGGCACACAGUAUUCUUUUGAGAUAACCAACCUGCAGUCUGAAGAUGUUGCAAGUUAUUUCUGUCAGCAGGAUUACAGUACCCCUCCCACAGUGAUUUAA